AGUGAACGCUGGCGGUAGGCCUAACACAUGCAAGUCGAACGGCAGCACAGUAAGAGCUUGCUCUUACGGGUGGCGAGUGGCGGACGGGUGAGGAAUACAUCGGAAUCUACUUUUUCGUGGGGGAUAACGUAGGGAAACUUACGCUAAUACCGCAUACGACCUACGGGUGAAAGCAGGGGAUCUUCGGACCUUGCGCGAUUGAAUGAGCCGCUGUCGGAUUAGCUAGUUGGCGGGGUAAAGGCCCACCAAGGCGACGAUCCGUAGCUGGUCUGAGAGGAUGAUCGGCCACACUGGAACUGAGACACGGUCAAGACUCCUACGGGAGGCAGCAGUGGGGAAUAUUGGACAAUGGGCGCAAGCCUGAUCCAGCCAUACCGCGUGGGUGAAGAAGGCCUUCGGGUUGUAAAGCCCUUUUGUUGGGAAAGAAAAGCAGCAGGUUAAUACCCCGCUGUUCUGACGGUACCCAAAGAAUAAGCACCGGCUAACUUCGUG
rnacentral:rRNA from 1 species